ACGACUUAUGUUUGAUCAUGGCUCAGAAGUCAACGCUGGCGGUAUGCCUAACCAUGCCAAGUCNCGAACGGCAGCNCAGGAGAGCUUGCCUCCUCUGGGCUGGCGAGCUGGCGGACGGGUGAGGAAUACCAUCUGGAAUCUACUCUGUCGCUGGCGGGAAUAACGUAGAGGAGAACUUACGCUAAUACCGGCGAUACGACCGUACGGGGUGAAAUGGCAGUGGUGACCGUUCGGGCCGUCUGCGCGCACUUGAACUGAGCCGCACUGUCGGAUUUAGCUAGCGUUUGGCGGGGUUAAAAAG
rnacentral:rRNA from 1 species